UUCGGAUUACAAAUUACAUCAGUGUAUUGUUGCUACAUUUCAUUCUUUACUGGACAAGCAAUUGAAGUCGACUCCGGUAAUUUUUGGUUUAUUUGUUUAAAAGU